rnacentral:rRNA from 1 species
UACGGGGGGGCAAGCGUUGUUCGGAAUUACUGGGCGUAAAGGGCUCGUAGGUGGCCAACUAAGUCAGACGUGAAAUCCCUCGGCUUAACCGGGGAACUGCGUCUGAUACUGGAUGGCUUGAGUUUGGGAGAGGGAUGCGGAAUUCCAGGUGUAGCGGUGAAAUGCGUAGAUAUCUGGAGGAACACCGGUGGCGAAGGCGGCAUCCUGGACCAACACUGACGCUGAGUGAGCGAAAGCCAGGGGAGCAAACGGG